GGCGGACGGGUGAGUAACGCGUAGGAAUCUACCCAGUAGUGGGGGAUAGCCCGGGGAAACUCGGAUUAAUACCGCAUACGCCCCACGGGGGAAAGGCCGGGAUCUUCGGACCUCGCGCUAUUGGAUGAGCCUGCGUCGGAUUAGCUAGUUGGUAGGGUAAAGGCCUACCAAGGCGACGAUCCGUAGCUGGUCUGAGAGGACGAUCAGCCACACUGGGACUGAGACACGGCCCAGACUCC
rnacentral:rRNA from 1 species